rnacentral:rRNA from 1 species
AUGGCUCAGGAUGAACGCUGGCGGCGUAGCUUAACACAUGCAAGUCGAACGGAGUUUUAACGGAAGUUUCGGAUGGAAGUUUAGAAACUUAGUGGCGGACGGGUGAGUAACGCGUGGGUAACCUGCCUCAUACAGGGGGAUAACAGUUAGAAAUGACUGCUAACACCGCAUAAUAUAGCGAAACCGCAUGAUUUUGCUAUCAAAUAUUUAUAGGUAUGAGAUGGGCCCCGCGUCUGAUUAGCUAGUUGGUGGGGUAAAAGCCUACCAAGGCGACGAUCAGUAGCCGGCUUGAGAGAGUGACCGGCCACAUUGGGACUGAGACACGGGCCCAAACUCCUACGGGAGGCAGCAGUGGGGAAUAUUGGACAAUGGGGGAAACCCUGAUCCAGCGAACCGCCGCGUGAGUGAAGAAGUAUUUCGGUAUGUAAAGCUCUAUCAGCAGGGAAGAUAAUGACAGUACCUGACUAAGAAGCCCCGGCUAACUACGUGCCAGCCGCAGC